AUUGAACGCUGGCGGCAUGCUUUACACAUGUAAGUCGAACGGCAGCGCGGGCUUCGGCCUGGCGGCGAGUGGCGAACGGGUGAGUAAUACAUCGGAACGUGCCCAGUAGUGGGGGAUAGCUCGGCGAAAGCCGGAUUAAUACCGCAUACGACCUGAGGGUGAAAGCGGGGGAUCUUCGGACCUCGCGCUAUUGGAGCGGCCGAUGGCAGAUUAGCUAGUUGGUGGGGUAAAGGCCUACCAAGGCGACGAUCUGUAGCUGGUCUGAGAGGACGACCAGCCACACUGGGACUGAGACACGGCCCAGACUCCUACGGGAGGCAGCAGUGGGGAAUUUUGGACAAUGGGCGAAAUCCUGAUCCAGCAAUGCCGCGUGUGUGAUGAAGGCCUUCGGGUUGUAAAGCACUUUUGGCGGGAACGAAAAGGACUGUGCCAAUACCACGGUUCGAUGACGGUACCCGCAGAAUAAGCACCGGCUAACUACGUG
rnacentral:rRNA from 1 species